rnacentral:lncRNA from 1 species
ACCAAAGAAUAUAAAUGAUAAUUAGUAACAAAUAAAAAAUUCAAGACUACAGCCUGAGCAUUGAGUUUAACAUAGUGCAACAUCUAAGGUAUGUACAACGAACAACUGAAGGCAAAAAUAACACUUGACCCAUUGAUUAAAUAAAUAGUUAAUGCAUUUUAAAGAAAACUGAAUCAUUAUGUUUACAUUUAAAAAACUGGGCAUGCUUAACAACAAAUUCAAGAUCAUGCUAAACCCAGAUUAGUGACUAGAUGUUUGAAUGUGUUUUACAAAGAGAUAGAUACCAUCAUACCACAAUCAAAUAACAACUGAUAGUAUCAGAUUACAAUUUAGAAAACAUAGGUCCAAAAAUCCCAAUAAUCAUGCAAAUUGUAGCCAUAGUUAUAUGAAUAACUGACAGAUCAAGAUGUAUUACUAAAAACAUUUAAAGUUUUCAAUUCAGAAACAACCUUCAUAUAGCUUUCAAGAUCUAAUAAAUUACAAAACAUGGGACCAAACAUCCAUAUACUCAUGAAACUAGUAACAUAAGCGAUCACCUCAACUCUCAGCUUUCUAGACUUAAUAAUUUCAAAAGUGCUUAAAUCUUUUAUAAAGUUUGUCAAAGGAUAGAAAAACAUUGACCCAUUGACUCAAAAGACACCUAAAUACUCUUAACUCUCAGCUUUCUAGAACAAAUUCUGAUUGAUCAUGGACUUCAAGAUAUGAAGGUUCAACAAGGAUGGAUAAACCGGUAGGAAUAU